rnacentral:rRNA from 1 species
AGAGGAAGUAAAAGUCGUAACAAGGUUUAUCCUUCCAGCAUCAUCUGCUGAAGCCUUACACAGCGACUCUAAACAACUGUGCAGCCCGCUUCAUUGCGGGCGAUACCAUCCAACUGCUGGGAAUUCUCUCCGGAGCAUUACCAGCAGCCUGGCCUCCGGGUCAGGUCCACAGAUCAAGUGAUGGUGGCUGUCCGAGUUACAGCUAAGAUAUGAUCGGUCCUAACUGUCGCCAGUUCAGGAGUCAACGUUCCGUAGGUGAACCUGCGGAAGGAUCAUUAACGAUUUUGACCCUUCGGGGUCGAUCUCCAACCCUUUGUCUACCUUCCUUGUUGCUUUGGCGGGCCGUUGUUUGCUCUCACGAGCGACACCGCUGGCUUCACGGCUAGUGAGCGCCCGCCAGAGUCCAUCAAAACUCUGAUUCAAACCUACAGUCUGAGUAUAUAUUUUAAUAAAUUAAAACUUUCAACAACGGAUCUCUUGGUUCUGGCAUCGAUGAAGAACGCAGCGAAAUGCGAUAAGUAAUGUGAAUUGCAGAAUUCAGUGAAUCAUCGAAUCUUUGAACGCACAUUGCGCCCCUUGGUAUUCCGAGGGGCAUGCCUGUUCGAGCGUCAUUUCACCACUCAAGCUCAGCUUGGUAUUGGGUCAUCGUCUGGUCAAACAGGCGUACCUGAAAAUCAGUGGCGGUGCCCAUUCGGCUUCAAGCAUAGUAACUUUUAUCUUGCUUUGGAAGUUCCGGAGGGUUACACCUGCCAACAACCCCAAUUUUUUCAAUGAUGACCUCG